CAAGUUUGUAUGAAGGUCUGGUUAUUAAAUGGGUACAUAGUUCAAUAGUAAUAUCCUGUAAAAACCUCUGGUGAUGAACUUUGCUGCCCUGUUUCCAGUUGUCCACAUUUCUGGAAGAACCUAUUCAAGUAGCUAGCUAACAGCCAUGGAGGGGGGUGAAAGGAUAGCAGCCCCAACUGUCAGUGAGAGAGGAGGCUAUUCUGGAUAUGACAGGUACUUUUGUGUAGUUCCUGGCCCUAGAAGUGAAGAUGGAGAUAGUAGGACCAAAAUAUUCAGUGUGGUGUAAUUUGACUAGAAUGAAGUCUGUUUCUUGUGAGGUUUUCUGUCCUCAGAUAAAGAGCGCUAUGAAAGCCAGUCUACAUAUGAAGAGGUCCCAAUGAAGAUCAGCGGUUCUCAGUCCUGGGGACUCAGAGGCACAUUGUUGUUUUUGCCUCAGCUCUGCACAGCUGAUUCAAAUGAUCAACUCAUCAUCAAGCUUCGAGAAAUACCUUGUAACUGGAGAUUCCUUCAAAACUAUUGCCUACAGUUACCGUGUAGGGCACUGCAAGGUUGGGUGACCAGGGUCAUCUGGGACUGCCUCCUGGAGGAAUUCAGCAUAAAGUGCUCUGCAGUCACUUAAUGUGGUGUGGACACCAGGUUAUAUCAGCUGUGUUGGUGAACCCCUCCUGCAUCUGAACUGUCUACAAAGAGGACACAGCAUGAUCAGAGAUAUGUUUUGUUGUGAGAGGAUGCCAACCCCCAGUCCCAUCAUCGCCACCUCACCUGCUUUUAAGAUAACCUUUGGGCCGACUAGAGACACUAUUAUGUAAUUGUAAUGAACUGAGAGAAUAUUUAGCUGCCUUUAUUAUUAUUAUUAUAUUAUUCCCUGCUCCUAUGUGUUUACCUCUUUCCCUUUCUGUCUUUUACACCUCUCCCACCACCUCCUCUUUCUUCCUCUGUUUUUAUAAUUCACAACAGAUGUGCAUUGAAGUACAGAUUGAACUUGUAUUUAUAACACUUGGAUAAUGAGAUUUUCAAUAAAGCAUUUCA